UUUAACGCGAAGGACCUUACCAGAUCUUGACAUCGGCAUGACCGGUGUUUCAAUGACACUUUUCCUUCGGGACAUGCUAGACAGGUGGUGCAUGGUUGUCGUCAGCUCGUGUCGUGAGAUGUUGGGUUAAGUCCCGCAACGAGCGCAACCCCUAUCUUUAGUAGCCAGCAAGUCAAGUUGGGCACUCUGGAGAGACUGCCCGGGAUAACCGGGAGGAAGAUGGGGAUGACGUCAAAUCAUCAUGCCCCUUACGAUCUGGGCUACACACGUGCUACAAUGGCGGAUACAAAGGGAUGCAAAGCCGUGAGGCCAAGCGAACCCCAAAAAGUCCGUCUCAGUUCGGAUUGUAGUCUGCAACUCGACUACAUGAAGCUGGAAUCGCUAGUAAUCGCG
rnacentral:rRNA from 1 species